UUCCCAAAGUGCUGGGAUUACAGGCAUGAGCCAGGGCGCCCAGCCCCAAGCAUUUUGGAUAACGACGCUCAACCUGUAUUGGAUCCCUAUGCAGGUUCCCAGAACCUUCGGACUCGGAAGAUGACCUCCAAAGAGGUUCACAGCGCCGAGUCUGCAUGAGAACUCGGCUUAGGUGCCUGCACUGAAAUCUGUCAUGCUGCACACUUUGCCAUGACCUGAGGCCAAAAAACAAACACCGUAUAGCUGGCAAAGGCGUUUAAUAGAAAUGA